GUGCUCAUUUUGGCAGCACAUAUACAAAAAUUGGAAUGAUACAGAGAAGAUUAGCAUGGUCCCUGCGCAAGGAUGACAUGCAAAUUUGUGAAGCGAAAAUGGAGGAC